rnacentral:lncRNA from 1 species
CGCCAUAGAAUCCGCUCCCACAACUGGCAUAAGGUGCUGUGACUCUCAGAUCUUCACCUCUCACUGUUUCUCUGGGAAGUCUCCAGGUCCCCACAUUUCAACUACCUACCAAGCAUUUACUCUUAGAUAUCCCACAAAGCACCUCAGACUCAGUGUUUCUCAAAUAUUACAUCCCUAGCUAUGUUUGUUUCUGUGAGGUUUUUUGUUUGUUUUGGGUUUUGUUUUUUGGUUUUUUUUUUUAGUAAUUUCACCCAACAUGGUGCUCGAACUCACGACCCUAAGAUCAAGAGUCACACACUCUUCCUACUGUGCCAGACAGGUGCCCCUGUUCUUUGUGUUUUUUAUCUCAAUGAAGGGCUCUACCACAUUAGUCAAGCUAGAAACAUGGGGGUAACCCCAUUCAUUCAUUUAAAACCACUAUUCUAGGCACUGGGGAUAACAGAAACUACAAAAAGUCGUGCCCUCCAAAAACUUGUAUUCCAGAAGGGGAAAACAGAGUAAGCAAUCAGUCCCCAAAUCUAACAGAUUCCAACUUAUUAUUUUUUUUAAAGGUGAGCCACCUUUUUUUUUUUUUUUUAAUAUUUAUUUUUGAGAAAGAGCAAGUGGGGCAGGGGCAGAGAGAGAGGGGGACAGAGGAUCAGAAGCAGGUUCUAUGCUGACAACAGAAAGCCCGAUGUGGGGCUCGAACUCACAAGCCACACGAUCAUGAAUGGAGCUGAAGUCAGACACUCAACCGACUAAGCCAGGCAGGCACCCCCAGAUUCCAACUUCUAAUAUCUCUAGACUCUGUCUCUCCAGUCACCACCUUAGUUCAAACCCUUGAUGGCCUCCCUCUUUCUCUUACUCCCUCCAGCCCAUUCUCCCGACAGCAGUGGGGAGCUGAAUCUUAAAUUGUAGCCUCUAGCUUUAAGCUUUCCAUCCCUCCAGGAGAGAGUCUUUCUUUGCAAUCUGGGUUAAAGGGUUUUAUAGCCUCUAGGCCCUGCUGGCCUUUCCAUCACUCAUCUCCACCCCGGUGAGCCACACUCUCCUCAGGCCACACUGAAUUAUAGCUGCAGGCUUCCCAUACCUGCCAUUCCACGCCUUCCCUCCUGCUUAGCUGACUCCUUGUCUGCUUUGCAGGUCUUAGCUCAGGUACUAUGACAGGCAGCUUCUGAGGUGGCCCCCACUGAUCCCUGGCUCCUCAUAUCCAGCCCUUGGGAUUCUGAAGAAAGGAAUGUGGCAGAAGCUGCCUUGUUGUGAACUGCUCUGUGAUGAAGGCCAUGUGACAAGGAGCAGAGGGAAGCCUCCGGCCAAAAACCUGUGAGGAACUGAAUCCUUCCAGCAAUGAUGUGAGCGAGCUUGGCACAGGGGUCCCCCCACCAAGCUGGGCCUUCAGAUGAGAUGGCCGCCCCAGCAGUCAGCAUUAACCGCAACCUCAUGGAAGACCUUCAGCCACGAGAGGCAGCCAGUUAAGUCAUGCCUGGAUUCCUGACCCAAAAAAAAACAAAAACAAAAACCUGUAAGAUAAUAAAUGUUUGUUGUCUUAAGC